GAAAUGCGAUAAGUAAUGUGAAUUGCAGAAUUCAGUGAAUCAUCGAAUCUUUGAACGCACAUUGCGCCCCUUGGUAUUCCGAGGGGCAUGCCUGUUCGAGCGUCAUUUCAACCCUCAAGCUCUGCUUGGUAUUGGGCUCCGCUUGGCUUCUCUUAUGCCCGGCGGGCCUUAAAGCUAUCGGCGGCGUUGGGCUCUGCUUCGGGCGUAGUAAAGAUUAUAUCUCGCUUUGGAAGUUAGGCCUUUGCCUGCCGGAUAAACUGGGUCUUUUAUGCCCGACUCUCAAGGUUGACCUCGGAUCAGGUAGGGACACCCGCUGAACUUAAGC
rnacentral:misc_RNA from 1 species